GGGGCCUGGGGGCUGCCCAGGGCUCACUCCCAUCUGACCGCGCCCACCAUCCCACUCUCUCUCCACCACCCUCCCCAGGGCUACAAACUCCUUGCACAGGGGAGGAGGGAGAGCCUCCAGAGGGAGCCCCUCUUCCUGGUCCCGGGAUCCCAGGCCUCUUCCUCUCUCCCUGGUUGCCUAGGAGCGGUCAUUGUUCUGAAGCCCCAGAGCAAAGGGGAUCUCAAACAAAUGCUCCAUCCUGGGGCCUUCCUGCUGGAUCUGACAUUUGGGAUGUUUUUAAUUCCUGGAGAGACAGAUUUGCCACAGGGGAGAAAUGACCUCUCUGUGGGCCGCUCCUGGUUAGGCUGCCUAGGACGCAAGGGAGCGAGGCAGGAGAGACCAUCUCUGUUUUACGGGGCUCUCCCGGUAUCUUCAGAGAGUCCAGGCCAGCGCCAGGCAGGUGGACAGUGUUUCCAGUGGCCUUCCUGUGGCCUCGACAUGGUCAGCUCCCGGGCUGCCUCUGUGGCUAGCUCUGGGACCUUCCCAGCACCAUCGACUUGGCCCCCAGCAUGUCCUCAGCCACCGUCAUCAUCUCUCCAUCCCUCAGCCACCGUCAUCAUCUCUCCAUCCCUC